GCCGGGGUGGAGAAAUUGGCAAACUCGCAAGACUUAAAAUCUUGUGGACGCAAGUCCUUGAGGGUUCGAGUCCCUCUCCCGGCA
rnacentral:tRNA from 1 species